ensembl:misc_RNA Metazoa_SRP Metazoan signal recognition particle RNA
GCGGUGCAUGGUGUUGUAUAUCUGUAGUCCCAGCUAUUUGGGAGGUUAAGGUAGGGGGAUCGCUUGAGCUCAGGAGUUAUGAGCUAUGGUGUAUUAUGCUGAUCAGGUGUCUAAAGUAAGUUCAGCAUAAUAUGGUGAAUAUGGUGACCUCCCAGAAGUGGGACUGGCCGGGGGGGUACUAGGUUGCCUAAGGGAAGGGCAAACAGGCCCGGUUCAGAAAUGGAGCAGGUCAAAACUCCCAUGCUGAUCAGUAGUGAGAUCGUGCCUGUAAACAGCCAAAACUCCAGCCUGGGCAACACAGUGAGACCUUGUCACUU